rnacentral:rRNA from 1 species
CCUACGGGUGGCAGCAGUGAGGAAUAUUGGUCAAUGGGCGCGAGCCUGAACCAGCCAAGUCGCGUGAGGGAUGAAGGUUCUAUGGAUCGUAAACCUCUUUUAUAAGGGAAUAAAGUGUGGGACGUGUCUUAUUUUGUAUGUACCUUAUGAAUAAGGAUCGGCUAACUCCGUGCCAGCAGCCGCGGUAAUACGGAGGAUCCGAGCGUUAUCCGGAUUUAUUGGGUUUAAAGGGUGCGUAGGCGGCCUUUUAAGUCAGCGGUGAAAGUCUGUGGCUCAACCAGAGAAUUGCCGUUGAAACUGGGGGGCUUGAGUAUGUUAGAGGCAGGCGGAAUGCGAGGUGUAGCGGUGGAAUGCUUAGAUAUCACGAAGAACCCCGGUGGCGAAGGCAGCCUGCUGGGCCGUGACUGACGCUGAGGCACGAAAGCGUGGGGAUCAAACAGGAUUAGAUACCCGAGUAGUC